rnacentral:lncRNA from 1 species
AAGUCUAGAUCAAGAGGUAUAAGACUAAACUUUCACUUUGUUCUUUACUAAAAUGUUUAGAUGCAUUAUAUAUAAACCUAUGAACCUUGAAGGGGAUUUGCAUGACUAUAGCUUUGAUUUUAUUUGAUAAAUUGCUUCCGUUGCUCAUGUACAUAAAUUUUGAAUUGUAUAUGCAUGCUAGUCAUUUAGAAAUCCCAUAUGUUAAACUCUUAUUUUUCCAUUCAAGUAUGUGAUACUAAGUGUUACAACAAACAUGGUUCACAUAUCAAAAACAUGGAUCCCUUCAUGCAUAGCAAAACAUUCAUAAGCAUCACUCAUAUCAAUCAACAUAAACAUUAUACAUUCCAACACAUUCAUACAUAAACAUCAUACAUUCCAACACAUUCAUAUAUAAACAUCAUACAUUCCAACACAUCCAUACAUAAGCCAACUGUGCUUCGAAAAGGUUCAACAUACUUUGUAUCUUCGACACUUACUACAAUGUGCCUCGACACCUUGCCCUUAUUCUCACCAACAUGUGAUGAAAUGUGAAGAAGAAACUCAUCUUCAUGCCACCAACCAGGUGAUGAAAUGUACAACCCGUACUCAUCUUCAU